UUUACCUCGUUUAUGGGAAAAUUUUAAACUAAGGGCGAGUUGUAUUUACGAAUAAAACUAUUUAACCAAUCGAACCAAAUCGUCUACAAGGAUUGGCAUUCAAAAAUACAUAAACGUUCACGUGGUCCUUAAACUGGGUUUAUUUAAAUUACUAGAUAGAUAACGUGGAGUGCUCAAUUAUAUGUAAAUAAGCACGAAGCAAGAUGUCAUUGUGGGGUUCCAUCAGGUUCCUUAUCGGCGGACAAACAGGGACAGCUUAGCCCUGCUCCAAUCAAUUCCGAUUCCGAUUCACCGGAGUUCCCGUGCUGAACAAAAACACCGGUCCCGAAAGCCAUUCGGCAAACAACAAUUUGUUGGACUUUUAUUUUUUACGGUCUCGUAUUGGCACAGCUGCUACUUCAGCGAAGAAGAGUCGGAGUCGUCUUUAAAAAUAUAACGAUGACAGACAUAUAUCCACAUCGCCGGACGGAUCGGAGCGGAACAGAAAGCAGCGUUAUGCAAAAAAGGUGCAACACAUUUUCCUGCCCCACACAAAAGCAACUCUUUGUGUGUUCCUGCUAUACAAACACGAUAGUGGUGCACCUAUAAAAAGUGAACCUAACGGAUCGUCAGUGGUGGUGGUGGUGGUAUGGUGGUAUGGUAUGGUGGUGCUGCCAGUGGUGUUGCAUGUGCUGGAAUUCGCCUUCCUGUCCUUACUGGGUUGCAAGGUUUACGGCAAUGCGGCCCUCUGUUCAAAUACACCUUGCAUACAUCGUAAAAAGUUGACUCUUCCGUCUGGAAAAGCGAUAUGUACACUGAAAGAAUUUUGUGCAUCAUAAAAAAUUUUUAGAAAAUUUUUCUGACAUCG